CAAUAGCGUAUAUUAAAGUUGUUGCGGUUAAAAGCUCGUAGUUGGAUUUCUGCCUGAGGCAGCCGGUCCGCACUUAGUGCGUGUAUCUGGUUUGGUUUGGGCAUCCUCUUGGGGAUCGUUGCUGUGCUUAGUUGCAUGGUGCGGAAUUCAAGACGUUUACUUUGAGGAAAUUAGAGUGGUUACGGCAAGCUAUCGCUUUGAAUACAUUAGCAUGGAAUAAUAAUAUAGGGCGUAAGUUCUAUCUUGUUGGUUUCUAGAACAUACGCAAUGAUUGAUAGGGACAGUUGGGGGCAUCAGUAUUCUGAAGCGAGAGGUGAAAUUCUUGGACCUUCGGAAGACUGACAGCUGCGAAAGCGUUUGUCCUAGGAUGUUCUCUUUAAUCAAGAACGAAGGUUGGGGGAGUCGAAGACGAUUAGAUACCGU
rnacentral:rRNA from 1 species